rnacentral:rRNA from 1 species
GCAGCCGAGGUAAUACGUAGGGUGCGAGCGUUAAUCGGAAUUACUGGGCGUAAAGCGUGCGCAGGCGGUUAGUUAAGACAGAUGUGAAAUCCCCGGGCUUAACCUGGGAACUGCAUUUGUGACUGGCGAGCUAGAGUAUGGCAGAGGGGGGUAGAAUUCCACGUGUAGCAGUGAAAUGCGUAGAGAUGUGGAGGAAUACCGAUGGCGAAGGCAGCCCCCUGGGCCAAUACUGACGCUCAUGCACGAAAGCGUGGGGAGCAAACAGGAUUAGAUACCCUGGUAGUCCACGCCCUAAACGAUGUCAACUAGUUGUUGGGUCUUCAUUGACUUAGUAACGUAGCUAACGCGUGAAGUUGACCGCCUGGGGAGUACGGUCGCAAGAUUAAAACUCAAAGGAAUUGACG